AGAGUUUGAUCAUGGCUCAGGAUGAACGCUGGCGGCGUGCUUAACACAUGCAAGUCGAACGAUGAAAGCGGGAGCUUGCUCCUGCUGGAUUAGUGGCGAACGGGUGAGUAACACGUGAGUAACCUGCCCUUGACUCUGGGAUAAGCGUUGGAAACGACGUCUAAUACCGGAUACGACCUUCGGAGGCAUCUCCUGGGGGUGGAAAGAAUUUCGGUCAAGGAUGGACUCGCGGCCUAUCAGCUAGUUGGUGAGGUAAUGGCUCACCAAGGCGACGACGGGUAGCCGGCCUGAGAGGGUGACCGGCCACACUGGGACUGAGACACGGCCCAGACUCCUACGGGAGGCAGCAGUGGGAAUAUUGCACAAUGGGCGCAAGCCUGAUGCAGCAACGCCGCGUGAGGGACGACGGCCUUCGGGUUGUAAACCUCUUUUAGUAGGGAAGAAGCGAAAGUGACGGUACCUGCAGAAAAAGCACCGGCUAACUACGUG
rnacentral:rRNA from 1 species